CUCAGAAAAUAUAUAUUAUUAGUAUAUGUUAACCUAAAAUAUUCAAGAAAGGAAGGAAUCGAACCCCCUCUAAUCGGUUUCAAGCCAACAUCAUAACCAUUAUGUCUUUCUUUAUGA